UAAAGUAUUGUUUAUAGGCUUUCAUUUAGAAGUAAAUAUAAUCCAGUUUUAAAAUAGUCAUUUCAGAUUGCCACUUUGACUCCAUUUUGGACAGAGGCAAUGGAGCGGUUCAUUAAAAUUACAAGCAUUGUCUAUGCCGUUUGAUAAUUAUUCUUAUAUUUUCAUAUCUAUGGUUUCUUAGGAUAUUUAAUAUCAAGAAACAGAAUAACUGAAAACUAUCUUUAUAACCCUGUGUUACUCAUCAGUCUUUCUCUUUCCCUUAUUUUAUGCAUAAAAAGGACUUCACUGGUGAGCCCUCAUUGUGUAUGCAGAUGACAUCGGUGAUCCCUUUGAACUAAUGAACUUUGGCCUUAGGGCACAUGCAUUCUGAAUGGGUCUUUAAAAUGCAUGUGCCACACCGUGGGAAUGAGAGAGGCAUUGCAGAAAGGAGAAAUGGGGGUGGAAAGGCUUGGAUUGAUAGACACAAGUGACUAGUUGGUAGAUAGUUAAAAGGUCGAAUAAUUCAUUAUUUAGGAAUCACCUUCAAAGGUUGCAGUGUUCAAAAAUUAGCAUAAUAGUUUGUAUAUAGAAAAGAUUCUUUGAGAAGGCAUCAUUUACUAUAACCUAAGGGUCUUUUUUUAUAAUGAAGUGUUCAAUUUUGUCAAGAUGCUAUAGAUUUCACUUUGGCCUUUUCACCUUAAGUAACAUUUAAUACAAUUUUAUUCUGAAUUUCCCAACAAUAAAAACCCUUAUGCUUCAUGUUCCUUAUUUAUCUGUUGUUGUAUUUUAACUAAAUACCAGAGCUUUGCAGUUUAUUUUUUCUUUCAACAAGUAUUUACAGGAUGCCUUUUAUUUAGAGCAGUGGACAAAUGGAGGUGUGGACAAAACAGACUAGUACCUUAUUUCAUGUAACGUGCAUUCUAGCAGAAGAAGGAGGAUAAUGAACAAAUAUAAAAGAUCUAACAUAUUGUGUGCGGUAGGUGCUUUGAAGAAAAAUGGAGAAGGGAAUAAAGCAGUAGGUGUGCUGUUCUGUGUGGGGGCACUCGAGAAGGCCCCCUGAAAGAACCACAUUGUUAUGGAGACAUGGAGGAUGGAGGGUGCACAGUAGCUCGCUAACAUCAGGCCAAGGAAAUGAUCGGUGGAGAGGUCCGGGUGGAAAGAUGCCCGGGCCAUCUGGUGAUAGACCACAGAAGACUGAGUAGAGUAGUGGGGGUCAGAGAGGUGGGGGUUGAGGGCCUUGCAGAACAUUGUCAAGACUUUGGAUUUUGCUCCGGGUAAAGGGGAGCCCUGGAGGACUCCUGCAGAGGGUUUGGAGCACCUGCCUGUGAGUCGGGAGGGCGCUGGCUGCUGCGCUGAGACGAGGACGAGGGAGGACAGAGGCAGAGAGGUCUGCUGGGCGGACAUCAGAGACCCUGAUGGCAGGCAGCAACAGAGAUGGUGAAGUGAUGGGAUUCCGGAUAUAUUCCCGAGAUGGAGUUAGAGGGUUUGCUGGCUGGAUAUGGAAGUAAGAAGAGAUGUUUACAAGAACCAUAAGGUCUGUGAUGUGAGUAGCUAGAAUAAAGGAGAUGGCAUUAGUUAAAAUUGGAAAAGCCUGGGCCUGGGUGAAAAAGGUGACGGGAUGGAGUGCAGAUUGGUAGUCACAAAACAGCCCCGGGCAUGGAAGGGGCAGCAUAGGGAGCAUAGUCAAUGAUACUGUAAUAGCUGUGCAUGGUGCCAGGUGGGCACUGGAAGUAUCAGGGGGAUGGAACACUGGGUAAAAUAUGUGAGUGUCUAAUGACUGUGCUGUACACCAGAAACUCAUACAGAAUAAUAUUGACAGUUAACUGUAAUUGAAAAAAAUUGAAAAUAAAAGUAAAAAUCUCUUACUGUUUAUAUCAUUACUGUUAAUAUUUGGAAACUAUAAAUUAGAGAACUCAUGUGCUUGGGCAUAAAAGCAUGCAGAGAUGAGGUUGGAGAAAGCUGUCAGUUAAGAAGGCUGCAAGCUCAAUGAUCAUUGAAGAUCACACUAUGACUUUUCAGGAAGAGAGGGAUAGUGUCACCAGGGGGCAUAACCGUAGACAAGGAAAUCACGGUUCCUUUUUGGAGAUAGUGGUGGUGGUGAUGGCGGAGACGCUGAACAAAGUCAGGCCCAGUCUCAUGAACGAUUUACCUUUGCUUUUCAUUUAUCCUCACGGAGGGCGGAAGCCAUGGCAGGUCAUAGAGGAUUCUCCUGUUAUUCUCAGCCUGAUAGUUUGUUAAAUAGAAGACAAUGGAUGGAGAUGAUAGUUGUGGAAAAUAUCGACACUGAGUUUUGGUGAUUAGCAUGCCUCUAGGACUGAUAACUGUAGGAACUUCUCCCGAGUCUGCAUUAGACUUGCAGUGGCCAUGCAGCUUUUGCUCUCUCGGAUGCUCUUAUGUUUCCUGUGACAAACGGCUAGCAAGAGUGACUGUGUGUCACUCACAUGUAAGUGGUAGGUUAGGUCCUUCUCUGUCUGACUUCUAAAUUUAAUAAUAUGUCUCUUCAAAUGGUUUUGUGGCUCUUGGAACUGCAGGAAACUAACGUAGGAAGUUAUGAGAAAAUCUAGCCCACCACAAAUCAAUAUUGGCUCUUGGGGAAUGAAGUGAGGGCACAUUUCUGGAGAAUGUGUUUCACUCCGGGAUACUUUGCAGCUCCCCGUGUGCUAGGUAAGUGUGUGACCUGGGAGUCAGUCUGGCUCUGUAGGAGUCCACUGUCUCUGCUUAGAGAGGGAAAUUAGAAGUGUUUGAAGCAAGAAUGACCAGCUCAGGCUUAGAUGCCCUUGAACAUGA